UACGUAGGGGGCAAGCGUUGUCCGGAAUCAUUGGGCGUAAAGCGCGUGUAGGCGGCCAGGUAAGUCCGUUCUGAAAGCCCGGGGCUCAACCCCGGGAGGCGGAUGGAUACUGCUUGGCUCGAGUCCGGAAGAGGCGAGUGGAAUUCCCGGUGUAGCGGUGAAAUGCGCAGAGAUCGGGAGGAACACCCGUAGCGAAGGCGGCACUCUGGGCCGGUACUGACGCUGAGGAGCGAAAGCGUGGGGAGCAAACAGG
rnacentral:rRNA from 1 species